rnacentral:rRNA from 1 species
AACGAACGGUGGCGGCAGGCUUAACACAGGCAAGUCGAGCGCCCCGCAAGGGGAGCGGCAGACGGGUGAGUAACACGUGGGAACAUACCCAUCUCUGCGGAACAACUCCGGGAAACUGGAGCUAAUACCGCAUACGCCCGUAGGGGAAAGAUUUAUCGCUGAAAGAUCGGCCCGCGUCGGAUUAGCUAGUUGGUGGGGUACUGGCCCACCAAGGCGACGAUCAGUAGCUGGUCUGAGAGGAUGAUCAGCCUCACUGGGACUGAGACACGGCCCAGACUCCUACGGGAGGCAGCAGUGGGGAAUAUUGGACAAUGGGGGAAACCCUGAUCCAGCCAUGCCGCGUGAGUGAUGAAGGCCUUAGGGUUGUAAAGCUCUUUCGUCAGGGAAGAUAAUGACGGUACCUUAAGAAGAAGCCCCGGCUAACUUCGUGCCAGCCGCCGCGGUAAGAC